rnacentral:rRNA from 1 species
UACGGGAAGGGGCUAGCGUUGUUCGGAAUCACUGGGCGUAAAGCGCUCGUAGGCGGAUCUUUAAGUCCAGAGGUGAAAAUCCCGAAGGCUCAACCUUGGAACUGCCUUUGAUACUGGGGAUCUCGAGUCCGGGAGAGGUGAGUGGAACUGCGAGUGUAGAGGUGAAAUUCGUAGAUAUUCGCAAGAACACCAGUGGCGAAGGCGGCUCA